CCAAUAGCGUAUAUUAAAGUUGUUGCAGUUAAAAAGCUCGUAGUUGAAUUUCGGGAUCAAUAUGUUGGUCGUGCCAUUGGUACGUACUGGCAUUAUUGGUUUCUACCUUCUGACGAACCAUGAUGUCAUUUAUUUGGUGUCGUGGGGAAUCAGGACUGUUACUUUGAAAAAAUUAGAGUGUUUAAAGCAGGCUCACGCUUGAAUACAUUAGCAUGGAAUAAUGAAAUAGGACGUUUGAUUCUAUUUUGUUGGUUUCUAGGAUCGACGUAAUGAUUAAUAGGGAUAGUUGGGGGCAUUAGUAUUCAAUUGUCAGAGGUGAAAUUCUUGGAUUUAUUGAAGACUAACUACUGCGAAAGCAUUUGCCAAGGAUGUUUUCAUUAAUCAAGAACGAAAGUUAGGGGAUCGAAGACGAUCAGAUACCGUCGUAGUCUUAACCAUAAACUAUGCCGACUAGGGAUCGGAUGAUGUUAAUUUUUUAAUGACUCAUUCGGCGCCUUACG
rnacentral:rRNA from 1 species